rnacentral:lncRNA from 1 species
CGCACAGCAAAUGUGCUGAGCAAACACCUCGGCAUUCAUCACUAUGCGGGGGCUGUUUACUGCCUCAUAAACUUGGAAGCAAGUGAUAUUGUCUCCUAAAUCAAUGGCUGCGCGGACAGCCUUGGCGCUCCAGGAGAACAGCACGGCCAGGCCGCGCCCGUGCUGAAAUUAAUGACUGGAGCAGUGACUGGAAGGUGCUUAGUCACUGCCGAGGGGAUUAGGAGCCAUUCCAGGGGACGAGCAGCCAGCCGAUGCUGAUGAGUCGGGGGCCGGAUGCCCCAACCAGAGCUCUGUGAUUAACCAGCUGAGUAAGCCUGCUUGGACCCCCAGAUCAGAAAGAGUCCAUCUCCCUGAGCUUACCACAGUAUGCACUGACCUAUGAUGGCACAGACUUGGCAUACAACCCAGCUGUGGCCAGCGAGACACAGAGCAAGCCUGCUGAUGGGGCUUCCAGGAAAUACUUUUAUUUUUCUUCAGAUACAAGACAAAGGCAUGUAAGGAAAAGACCUUUCUGCACCUUCCCCAACUUCCUGCCUCCAACGCUUCUGUGUGAUGAUGUGAUACUUGGAACAUGGUGGCAUCUUGUGACCAUGAGGUGACAGGCUUGGCAUGGACAGCCGUGUGCUGUGGGUGGCAGAGCAGGUAACCAGGAAGCCUGGUGCUGACACCCAUCCUCCUGCACCUAUGCCAGCUGGGACCGCCCACCUCCGGACUUCUGACCGUGUGAGCUGACGGCCUCUCUUCACUGCCUGGUGCCUGUUGGUCAGCUGUUUCGUUACUUGUGAUCAAAAGCAUUCCUGAUGGAUUCAAGACUCUUUGAAGAAACUGGAGCUGUGUCACCUGGAAUCUCUGCUGUCAGCUGCUUGAAUCCCCUCCCAGCAUUUCCACCAACCUGUGCUUAGGCAAUUAGAGAAGGAGGAACUCAGGCCAGGCGCGGUGGCUCACGCCUGUAAUCCCAGCACUUCGGGAGGCCGAGGCGGGCGGAUCAAGA